rnacentral:misc_RNA from 1 species
UGAGCGCGGCGGGCACGCACCGCGUGCUGACGAUGGACUUGCACAAGGCGCAGAUUCAGGGGUUCUUCGACAUCCCCGUGGAUCACCUGUUCGCGGCGCCGGUGAUCGUCGAGUACCUCUCGCGGCACAAGCAGCAGAAGCUGACGAUCGUGUCGCCGGAUGCGGGCGGUGCCGAACGCGCGCGGGCGUAUGCAAAGCGCCUCGAUGCCGAGCUGGCCGUCAUCGACAAGCGGCGCACUGAAGAUGGCACGGCCGAAGUGAUGAACGUCAUCGGUGAUGUACAGGGCCGGAUCUGCAUCAUCCAGGACGACAUCAUCGAUACGGCGGGGACGAUCCAGAAAGCGGCGAUUGCGCUGCAGACCGCGGGUGCCGAGAAGAUCGUGGCGUGUGCGGUGCACGGCGUGCUUUCUGGUCCGGCGAUCGAUCGCAUCGAAAAUUCGCCGGUCGAUCAGUUGAUCGUGACGAAUACGAUUCCGCUGAGCGGCGAUGCGCAACGGUGCAAGAAGAUCGUCGUGCUGUCCGUAGCGCGGCUGCUUGGUCAGGCGAUUCGCAGCAUUCA